UUACGCUCGUCUUAAUAUGUGAGAUUUUGAACAAUUCUUAAAUGCAGUGAACUGGACUGACCAAACACAUUUGUUUAAAAGUGAAUAAACUUUAUUCCACCUCCACAGAAGAGAAAGCUAAUGACUUAAAUGUGGAAAGGCAGGGUUUUUAAUUUUUUUUUAACUUUUUUCCCCUCGCUUAUCAAAAACCACAAGGAUUUCCUGUUUCAUCAUUCUCUACGUCUACCUAGAGUGGUCUAAAGGUGAAAUGCCUGAAUAUUAAGCCAUAAUCAAUCAUUGUACACACACUAAUUACUUUCUGUCCUCCCCUUUCCUUGUCAUCAUGGUCCAAAGCAGGUUUUUGAGACUGAGUACAUUCAUCUGAGCUGUUAGCUGCUACGCUCCACUGCGUCCUUGUAUGAUCUGCCUGGUCCAGACCCCUGGAGAAAAUUUGUGCAUGCAUACUGUAUGUGAACUUUAGAUAAAUAAAUAAACACGCGAAACAGCUUCCAGAUAAUUGAAAGUGAAUGAAGGAGGGAGCAAAAAGAAAACAAUUUCUCUGGGGAUAAGCAGCGAAGGUGGCAGAUGUUACAAACACUCAGAUGAGUUUUCUGCAACAAAUUUGUACCUCACAGAGGAAGUUACUCAGAGAGAGAGAGCGAGAACAUGCACAUGAGGAGAGGGGAGGGACAGAGGGAGAUGGAAAGAGAGUCUUAGGUGGACUCCAGGCACUCAGCAUGGAGCCCCUCAUGCAGC